AUCCGAAUGCCAUUGCGCGGUUGAUCAGCCCUUCGUAUCAUCUAAAAGGCUCAGGAAUCCAAUGCCUGACGUUUUGGUAUUCCAUGUACGGCUCGACUAUCAAAACACUAAAUGUUUAUGUGACUGCCUCUGGCCAUACAAAUAAUCGUGGAUCACCCGCAUGGACACUGUCAGGAAACCAGGGUGACCAAUGGAAACAAGCGAAGUUUACCAUAUUCCCAACUGGAAACUAUCAGUGAUAUGCAUGUGAAAGAGGAAAAUGAGACCCCACAUAUUAUAGACUCAAAUUCAACCCAAGCAAGGAAGUUGCAGUCACUGGGUGUUCUUGUUUACAGUCAUGUGUUCAAUGCCGCAACAAUAUAAAAUAUUUUAGCUGGUUCUGGACUCAACCUCAUGCAUCUUAGAAUGAUCUUUGAACGUGAUGGCCAGGAUGGUCUCAAGAACAUUUUCAUAAUGAAUAACUCAGAUGGCAAGCCCAAACUCACCAAUGCCAAGUGGCUUUUGGAGAUACUUAUUCCAACCGUCGGAGUUCUUCAAACAAUGACCAUGACAAUCAUGUAUUUGCUUAAUAUGUCAUAAUAAGUUUAAUGUUAUCACUACUCAUUGAUAAAUCUAUUUUCCUUUAAACUUAUAUGAUUGAACGAUUUAAUGUGCCGUGUUACUUAUUUUAUAAUGUUCUUAUUUCCUUGUCACAUUUUCAAGUCUUCUUUAUAGAAGAACGCAUUUCACAUGCAAUUUCAAACAAGGUUAGCAAAUCUUACUGCACUGAGUAGGCCCCAUGUCACACGUGAUAUUUGAUGUCUGUAUCUAAAAAUGUUUAUGAGUUUAUUAUAAGAUUUUCCAUCUAUUUGAUGAUUUUUGAACAUGUAACUCAUCUGUAAUGAUCGAAUAUAAAAAUCUCCAAUUCAUUAUGGCGUUUCUGGAAAAGGGGGGUUCCAUGGAUUGUAUAGAAACAACUUAUUGUUUUCACGUAUGACCCCCGUUUUUCUAUAUUUUUCAUUCAAGCAUAUAUUGUAGAUGAUUCUUAUGUUCAAAAAUUGUAAUUUCCCUUUGCCAUUGUUUUGACAAUUUAUUUAAAAAAAGACUUGUUACUAGAGAUUGCAAUUUUUAUCGUUGUCCGAAGGAUGAUGACUUCAUUUGUUAAGUUAUAUUUUCUUUUGAUUCCUUUUCUCACAUUUAAUAUACGUAUAUAGUAUGCAUUUAUCGCUUAAUACAUAAAAUGUGUUUUUUUGUUCAAUAUUUAGAUUAAUGAGAGUGAAUCUUGUAAAUUCAUGAUUCAGACA